GAGAGUUUAAUCCUGGCUCAGGACGAACGCUGGCGGCGUGCCUAAUACAUGCAAGUCGAGCGGACAGAUGGGAGCUUGCUCCCUGAUGUUAGCGGCGGACGGGUGAGUAACACGUGGGUAACCUGCCUGUAAGACUGGGAUAACUCCGGGAAACCGGGGCUAAUACCGGAUGGUUGUUUGAACCGCAUGGUUCAGACAUAAAAGGUGGCUUCGGCUACCACUUACAGAUGGACCCGCGGCGCAUUAGCUAGUUGGUGAGGUAACGGCUCACCAAGGCAACGAUGCGUAGCCGACCUGAGAGGGUGAUCGGCCACACUGGGACUGAGACACGGCCCAGACUCCUACGGGAGGCAGCAGUAGGGAAUCUUCCGCAAUGGACGAAAGUCUGACGGAGCAACGCCGCGUGAGUGAUGAAGGUUUUCGGAUCGUAAAGCUCUGUUGUUAGGGAAGAACAAGUGCCGUUCAAAUAGGACGGCACCUUGACGGUACCUAACCAGAAAGCCACGGCUAACUACGUGCCAGCAGCCGCGGUAAUACGUAGGUGGCAAGCGUUGUCCGGAAUUAUUGGGCGUAAAGGGCUCGCAGGCGGUUUCUUAAGUCUGAUGUGAAAGCCCCCGGCUCAACCGGGGAGGGUCAUUGGAAACUGGGGAACUUGAGUGCAGAAGAGGAGAGUGGAAUCCCACGUGUAGCGGUGAAAUGCGUAGAGAUGUGGAGGAACACCAGUGGCGAAGGCGACUCUCUGGUCUGUAACUGACGCUGAGGAGCGAAAGCGUGGGGAGCGAACAGGAUUAGAUACCCUGGUAGUCCACGCCGUAAACGAUGAGUGCUAAGUGUUAGGGGGUUUCCGCCCCUUAGUGCUGCAGCUAACGCAUUAAGCACUCCGCCUGGGGAGUACGGUCGCAAGACUGAAACUCAAAGGAAUUGACGGGGGC
rnacentral:rRNA from 2 species